rnacentral:lncRNA from 1 species
GGAUGCUGCACCGCUGAUCUAGAUGUUGAGUGAAUCUCAGGGCUGUAAGCAGCCGAGCAUGGCUCUAGUGAUAUGGCUCUACACCUGGGAACAUGAAAUAAGCCUAUGCCUGUGUAUAAAGGUAUGUGCGCUGUGUUUGUGUCCAUUUACACACACCCCUGGGAACAAGUGUAACUGUAUGUCUCUGUGACUGUGUGUGUGUCUGCAGCCUCCCCUCAUGUCUCCAGUCAUUUGUACUCCUCCUCAGGUUAUAGGGGCCUGGCCUCAGCGGAGGAAUCAUGUUUUUUCAAGGACUAAUGACUUUAUCAGAAUGAUAAUGAACUGAUGACACGUGGAAGCUCCCAGGCUCUGGAGAGAAGCCAGAGAACAACUGGGAACAGAAUGGAGGUUGGUGGAACUUGGGGGUUCAAGGACCUUGUCUUUCAGAAAGUCCACUCUGGCUCUGUUCAGAUUUUAGAGGGUGAGGGGAUGUACAAAGGAAACCCAAAGGAUGUGGAAAUAUGUUAUCAGUAUUCCUGGCCUGGUCUACCUGCCUUUUCUAGGAGCCUCCAAUCCCUGCGCUGCUGUCUCUCUUGCCCUCUCACCUUGACCAUGGCUGUGAGUUGUGAGGGGUAAGGCUGGCUACUCUACGCUCCCAGUCUCUUCCAUCUGGCCCUCACCCAAAGCCAAGUCCUGCCCAGAGAUGGAAGGAGGGGACUGCCUCUAGAUAUAGGAUAACAAAGAAUUCUGAGAGGGGCAGGGACACAUAAUCAGGCCUUGAGGCAAAAACUGUCAAGUUAUCCCUUGAACAUGCAGCCUGUCAAGGCUAAUCGGCCUCAAUGACCUUUCAUAAUGGAUUUAGGGCCAGGUGACUUGUCACUGGGGAAAGGAAAGGAAAGUGCAAAAGCUUAUAGAAUAUUCUCGCUGGAGGGACCUGGAUUACAGAAAAGAGACUUCUCUCAUUGGUCAGACAAGAUAAGUGACACCCUUCUCCUAAAGGUUUCAGAGACAUUUCAUACAGACCUGGCUUACAGCACACAGGGGCUUGCUUCACUGAAAAGCUCCCUACUCCACUGCACCAAGAGACAGCCACUUUUCCCCAAGCUGAAGAGCUCCAGCCCCCUUAGCAAAGCCUGGAACACAACUGGACUCACUCUGAAGAAGAAACUUCUGGGGAGUUGGCCACUGAGACAGAAAGCAAAGUGAGAGGAGGAAGUUUAACAAUAUGUUGAGGGACUUCCCUGGUCAUCCAGUGUCUCAGACUCCUCACCCACAAUGCAGGAGACUCAAGUUUGAUCCAUGGUCAGAGAACUAGAUCCUGCACGCCGAAACUAAAUAUCCCGCAUGCCACAAUGAAGCUCAAAGAUCUUGCAUGCUCCAACCAAGACUUGGUGCAGUCAAAUAAAUAAAAUAAAAUAAAUAUUUUUAAAAUAAUAAUAAAAUAAUAUGUUGAGUAGG